CUUUCUCAUGCAACUAUAUCAUUGAGAUUACCAAUUUAUUUGUAUGGUAUUUGGUGAUUGAUGAAAGCUCCUUCGUAGAAAAUUAAUUAGCUUUUUUUAUGGUGCUUUAGUUGGCUGUCUGUUUGAAAACUCCUUAUUUCUCAAAUCCUCGCCCGCAAUCACCCUACUACAACAAUUCUUGAUAGAGAUGUUGUUACAACUCCACCUUUUCCCUUUUAAACUUUCGUUUCUAGGAUAGAAAUCAAAAGACGUGGAAUUUACAUGUCUGUUGUUCUUUUAUUUAUUGGAGUAGUUUCGUUUUAGAUUUAUUUUACGUGAGACAUAUCAAAAAUCAACUCUCUAUAUCCUUUACUCAACCCAACAAAACCCAUUAUCUCCACAAACACUAACACUAUUGGGCUCUGCACAAACAUUCAACAAACCGAAAAAGCCUCCCUCCGCCCUUAUUACACAUAACCUUAUUUCUAGGGUUUACUAAAUCAUAUAUACUUCCUUCGUCUUCCUCUCCCUAGAGACAAACACAUGUUUCCUAGCUGGAACAACCAGCUCACGCUUGUUGGCGCGUACACAUAGUUUGAAUAUCUGCCAUACGAAUCAACAUAUAAAUCGAAGCAGAUUUAAAGGUUCUAUUCUUGAUGACUUCACUUUCUUGAUGGAUUAUCAGGAGCUUUGAUGAUUUAGGAGAGAAUGUUGUAAUGGAUUAUAUUCUUGAUGACUUCACUUUCUUGAUGGAUUAUUGUAAACAAGAGUUUUGAUGAUUUAGGAGAGAAUGUUGUAAUGGAUUAUAUUCUUGAUGACUUCACUUUUUUGAUGGAGCUUUGAUGAUUUAGGAGAGAAUGUUGUAAUGGAUUAUAUUCUUGA